ACUCCUGCGGGAGGCAGCAGUGGGGAAUAUUGGACAAUGGGCGCAAGACUGAUCCAGCCAUGCCGCGUGAGUGAUGAAGGCCCUAGGGUUGUAAAGCUCUUUCACCGGUGAAGAUAAUGACGGUAACCGGAGAAGAAGCCCCGGCUAACUUCGUGCCAGCAGCCGCGGUAAUACGAAGGGGGCUAGCGUUGUUCGGAUUUACUGGGCGUAAAGCGCACGUAGGCGGACUAUUAAGUCAGGGGUGAAAUCCCGGGGCUCAACCCCGGAACUGCCUUUGAUACUGGUAGUCUUGAGUUCGAGAGAGGUGAGUGGAAUUCCGAGUGUAGAGGUGAAAUUCGUAGAUAUUCGGAGGAACACCAGUGGCGAAGGCGGCUCACUGGCUCGAUACUGACGCUGAGGUGCGAAAGCUUGGGGAGCAAACAGGAUUAGAAACCCGAGUAGUCC
rnacentral:rRNA from 1 species